GCGGUGUGUGUGGAUGGGGGUACGGUGUGCCUCUUUAAUGUCAAAACGACUCUCGGCAACGGAUAUCUCGGCUCUCGCAUCGAUGAAGAACGUAGCGAAAUGCGAUACUUGGUGUGAAUUGCAGAAUCCCGUGAACCAUCGAGUCUUUGAACGCAAGUUGCGCCCGAAGCCUUCGGGCC
rnacentral:rRNA from 1 species